rnacentral:lncRNA from 1 species
GUGUGUGCUGCCUUUUGCUUCUUGCAUCCUAACGAGCUUCAACAGACACAAAUUAAGGAGCAAUGGGAGUAUCCACAAAUUUCCCCAGCCUUCAGGGCAUCUUUCUGUUUUAAGGCUGUAACUCAGGCCUCAUCUGGGGAGGCCACUGAAAGUACCACACACUUUCCAAGUCUCAGGAUCACCAGGGAGGGAUUCUUGCUCUUGCUCUGUUACCUUUUCUCUUGUUACUAAGGCCACUCAUAGAAAUCCAAAUUGUUUCUCUUUCCCUUUUUAGUUCUAGGAUGACAACUCAGCUGUUUCUGGAAAAAUUACAACCUUGGCCAGGACGUUCCAAAUAAGUUAAAACAAUCUCUACAUCUGAGGGAGACAGCCUUUUACGAUGGGCUCUUCCUGUAUUACCCAGGUUGACCCUCCUGCCUCAGACUCCUGAGAAGCUGGCAUUAGGGUGUGCACCACCAUUCCCAUCUGAACUUUAGGAAAAAAUAUUUAGAUGUUUCAGUGAAAACCUGAUGAAGAUAAAUUGCAGUGUGAAUGAAAUGACAGGGAAAAUCAAAUGCCAAUUUUAUUAGAAAGAACCCACUGGGGAGACACGUUGAAACCAGGAGCUCAUGGCUGAAGACUACAUGGCUAGAGACAAGUAAGGGGCUGAGGACAGAGCAGAGAAGAAACAUUGAGGGAGAAGUAAAUGAGGGGAGAGAAGAAGAAACUGAGGAGGCCGUGAGCCUGGAUGCUGCAUGGGGGAGUGAAGAAUUUGAAUUGCUGGGAUGGCCAAGAAGUGUUUGGAGUCCAGCAUCACUCACUGGGGACAUGAUGACGUUUGUUCUGCAGCAGGGAAUGUCUUCCUAGCAUGACUGGCAGUGGAGAAUGUCUGUCUUUUACUGGAAAACCCAACUCCUACAUGAAUAUGCGAUCUGGCUCUGGGGCCUCAAGAAGAAAAUCACAAUAAUACUUUUUCUAUCAUCUUCAUUUGAUGGCAUUAUCCUUGAUAUUUGAGCAGAAGAAUAUUACGGAGGAAUAAAAGGCAACUUAGAAUCACAGCACUUGAUACAACCUCAGUAGGUCAUCUGGAAGAGAAAUGGCUUUUGGAAAUGGUCAUCAGAUUUGAUAUCUAACUAUGGCAAAGAGUGUCAAGAGACUUUCAAGGACAAUGUAUGUCUUGGUAGAAGUAAAGUGAAAUUAUCAGUAAAUACAGAAAUGUUUCUGAAUUGAAC